UCACAUCACAUCACCUUUUUCUCAUCCUCGUUUAAACGGGGCUACAAUUAUAAGAUCUAUCUGCAUGUCAUGACCAAUUUGUCAUGCGCAUCGAUUUUCACCUAUUUAUAAAACGUUGUAUAAAAAUGACGUAAUUUAUUUUAUUAAUACCGGUUUGGUCAACAACAGCUUUCGACCUGAAACGAAACUAUAGAACUAGACUGUUACCUUUAAUGUCCGGGAUAAAAGAAAACAGAACGACAACUCUCCAGGAAAUGUUUUUGUCAGAAAAUAAAUGUCCCUUCCCCAUGAUUGCUGAGCAUCAAGAAAUUGAACGAAAUUCGGGAAUUGAUGUUCGGAGUUUAUCAUUCAUUGCAGCUGCUUUGAAGGGAGUUGAUCCUUUCAAUACCGAGGAGAUCCAGAUUUGUCUCACAGAAAUUCGAAAAGGGAAGUGCCAAAGAC